CCCCCCACUCCGCACUCGACGGUUUCCAUCCGCGCGCGGCUCCUCCCGUCCGUCAGCGGGCACGCGCACGCAGCCGGUCGCGCUCCUCGGGCACGCGCACGCAGCUGAGCACGUACAGCGGGUAUGCGGCCGUAGGGCAGCAGAAGCGGACGGCGCGGCGACGCGCGUUGCGGGGUUCCCCGCGGCGGUUCGGGGGUCUCUCCCGACCGCACAGCGCUCGGACCACCAAAACGCACUGAGUGCCGUCGGGAGAGGGCGGCGAAUGGAACCGUCGGAGCGCCACAGCCGCCGACACCGCCAAAGGAACGCCGGGAGAGCCGGGGGGGGCUGAAAGGGGGGGGGGGAUGGAGGUCAGAUGGCAACGGGAUGCGGGGGGGCAAUGGGGAUGCGGGGGGGGGGGGCACCAAUGGCACCGAUGGCAUCAAUGGCAUCAAUGGCAUCAAUGGCACCAAUGGCAUCAAUGGCAGAUGGGGGUCAUGGUGGCACCAAUGGCACCAAUGGCAUCAAUGGCAUCAAUGGCACCAAUGGCACCAAUGGUACCAAUGGCAUAAAUGGCACCAAUGGUACCAAUGGCAGAUGGGGUCAUGGUGUCAGAAAUGGCACCAAUGGCAUCAAUGGCAUCAAUGGCAGAUGGGGUCAUGGUGGCACCAAUGGCACCAAUGGCACCAAUGGCACCAAUGGCAUCAAUGGCAGAUGGGGUCAUGGUGGCACCAAUGGCACCAAUGGCACCAAUGGCACCAAUGGCACCAAUGGCAGAUGGGGUCAUGGUGUCACCAGGGGCGCCAAUGGCAUCAAUGGCACCAAUGGCACCAAUGGCAUCAAUGGCAUCAAUGGCAUCAAUGGUACCAAUGGCAUCAAUGGCACCAAUGGCACCAAUGGCAGAUGGGGGUCAUGGUGGCACCAAUGGCACCGAUGGCAUUAAUGGCAUCAAUGACAUCAAUGGCACCAAUGGUACCAAUGGCAGAUGGGGUCAUGGUGUCACCAAUGGCACCAAUGGCACCAAUGGCACCAAUGGUACCAAUGGCACCAAUGGCAUCAAUGGCACCAAUGGCAUCAAUGGCACCAGUGGUACCAAUGGUAGAUGGGGUCAUGGUGGCACCAAUGGCACCAAUGGCACCAAUGGCAGAUGGGGUCAUGGUGGCAUCAAUGGCACCAAUGGCAUCAAUGGCACCAAUGGCACCAAUGGCAUCAAUGGCACCAAUGGCACCAAUGGCACCAAUGGCAUCAAUGGCAUCAAUGGCACCAAUGGCACCAAUGGCAGAUGGGGUCAUGGUGGCAUCAAUGGCACCAAUGGCAUCAAUGGCACCAAUGGCACCAAUGGCAUCAAUGGCACCAAUGGCACCAAUGGCACCAAUGGCAUCAAUGGCAUCAAUGGCACCAAUGGCACCAAUGGUACCAAUGGCAGAUGGGGUCAUGGGGGCACCAAUGGCACCAAUGGCAUCAAUGGCAUCAAUGGCACCAAUGGCAUCAAUGGCAUCAAUGGCACCAAUGGCAGAUGGGGUCAUGGGGGCACCAAUGGCACCAAUGGCAUCAAUGGCACCAAUGGCACCAAUGGCAUCAAUGGCAUCAAUGGCACCAAUGGCACCAAUGGUACCAAUGGUAGAUGGGGUCAUGGUGGCAUCAAUGGCACCAAUGGCACCAAUGGCACCAAUGGUACCAAUGGCAGAUGGGGUCAUGGUGGCAUCAAUGACAUCAAUGGCACCAAUGACAUCAAUGGCACCAAUGGCAGAUGGGGGUCAUGGUGGCACUAAUGGCACCGAUGGCAGCAGUGCCAUAUGGGGUCAAGGUGGCAUCAAUGGCACCAAUGGCAUCAAUGUCCCCAAUGCCAGCAGUGCCAGAUGGGGUCAUGGUGUAACCAAUGUCCCCAAUGUCCCCAGUGCCAGCAGUGCCAGAUGGGGUCGUGGUGCCACCAAUGUCCCCAAUGUCACCAUUGUCCCCAAUGCCAGCACUGCCAGAUCGGGUCGUGGUGUCACCAAUGUCCCCACUGUCACCAAUGUCACCAUUGUCCCCAGUGCCAGCAGUGCCAUUUGGAGUUGUGGUGUCCCCAAUGUCCCCAAUGUCCCCAAUGCCAGCAGUGCCAGAUGGGGUUGUGGUGUCCCCAAUGUCCCCAAUGUCCCCAAUGCCAGCAGUGCCAGAUGGGGUUGUGGUGUCCCCAAUGUCCCCAAUGUCCCCAAUGCCAGCAGUGCCAGAUGGGGUUGUGGUGUCCCCAAUGUCCCCAAUGUCCCCAAUGCCAGCAGUCCCAUAUGGGGUUGUGGUGUCCCCAUUGUCCCCAAUGUCCCCAAUGCCAGCAGUGCCAGAUGGGGUUGUGGUGUUACCAAUGUCUACAAUGUCCCCAAUGUCCCCAAUGCCAGCAGUCCCAUAUGGGGUUGUGGUGUCACCAAUGUCCCCAGUGUCCCCAAUGCCAGCUGUGCCAUUUGGGGUUGCAGUGUCCCCAAUGUCCCCAAUGUCCCCAAUGCCAGCAGUGCCAGAUGGGGUCGUGGUGUCCUCAAUGUCCCCAAUGUCCCCAAUGUCCCCAAAGCCAGCAGUGCCAGAUGGGGUCGUGGUGUCCCCAAUGUCCCCAAUGUCCCCAAUGCCAGCAGUGCCAGAUGGGGUUGUGGUGUCCCCAAUGUCCCCAAUGUCCCCAAUGCCAGCAGUGCCAGAUGGGGUUGUGGUGUCCCCAAUGUCCCCAAUGCCAGCAGUGCCAGAUGGGGUUGCGGCGUCCCCAAUGUCCCCAAUGUCCCCAAUGCCAGCAGUGCCAGAUGGGGUUGCGGUGUCACCAAUGUCCCCAAUGUCCCCAGUGUCCCCAAUGCCAGCAGUGCCAGAUGGGGUCGUGGUGUCACCAAUGUCCCCAAUGUCCCCAGUGUCCCCCGUGUCCCCAAUGCCAGCAGUGCCAGAUGGGAUUGUGGUGUCCCCAAUGUCCCCAAUGUCCCCAAUGCCAGCAGUGCCAGAUGGGGUCGUGGUGUCCUCAAUGUCCCCAAUGUCCCCAAUGUCCCCAAAGCCAGCAGUGCCAGAUGGGGUCGUGGUGUCCCCAAUGUCCCCAAUGUCCCCAAUGCCAGCAGUGCCAGAUGGGGUUGUGGUGUCCCCAAUGUCCCCAAUGUCCCCAAUGCCAGCAGUGCCAGAUGGGGUUGUGGUGUCCCCAAUGUCCCCAAUGCCAGCAGUGCCAGAUGGGGUUGCGGCGUCCCCAAUGUCCCCAAUGUCCCCAAUGCCAGCAGUGCCAGAUGGGGUUGCGGUGUCACCAAUGUCCCCAAUGUCCCCAGUGUCCCCAAUGCCAGCAGUGCCAGAUGGGGUCGUGGUGUCACCAAUGUCCCCAAUGUCCCCAGUGUCCCCCGUGUCCCCAAUGCCAGCAGUGCCAGAUGGGAUUGUGGUGUCCCCAAUGUCCCCAAUGUCCCCAGUGUCCCCAGUGUCCCCAAUGCCAGCAGUGCCAGAUGGGGUUGCGGCGUCCCCAAUGUCCCCAAUGUCCCCAAUGUCCCCAAUGCCAGCAGUGCCAGAUGGGGUCGUGGUGUCCCCAAUGUCCCCAAUGUCCCCAAUGCCAGCAGUCCCAUAUGGGGUUGUGGUGUCCUCAAUGUCCCCAAUGCCAGCAGUGCCAGAGGGGGUUGUGGCGUCCCCAAUGUCCCCAAUGUCCCCAAUGCCAGCAGUGCCAGAUGGGGUCGUGGUGUCACCAAUGUCCCCAAUGUCCCCAAUGCCAGCAGUCCCAUAUGGGGUUGUGGUGUCACCAGUGUCCCCAAUGCCAGCAGUGCCAUAUGUGGGCCCCGGUGUCACCAAUGCCAGGUGUGCCCCAUGGUGUCUCUGGGGUCACCAAAAGGGGGCCCCAAAAGUGGGUGGGGGGUCCUCAAAUGGGGAUGGAGGAGGGGUCCCCACACGUAAUUGGGAGUCUGGGAGUCCCCAAAUGGGGGUGGGGGUCCCCAAGAAGAGUGGAUCUGGGGGUCGCUCAAUGAAUUCAGGGGGCCCAAAUUGGGGCUGGGGGUCCCCAAAUAGGGGUGGGGGUCCCCAAAUGGGGAUGGAGGAGGGGUCCCCAAACGUAAGUGUGGGUCUGGGGGUCCCUCAAUGAAUUCAGGGGGCCCCCAAAUAGGCGUGGGGGUCGCCAAAUGGGGGUGGGGGUCCCCAAGAAGAGUGGUUCUGGGGGUCCCUCAAUGAAUUCAGGGGGCCCAAAUUGGGGCUGGGGGUCCCCAAAUGGGGGUGGGGGUCCCCAAGAAGAGUGGCUCUGGGGGUCCCUCAAUGAAUUCGGGGGGCCCAAAUUGGGGCUGGGGGUCCCCAAAUAGGGGUGGGGGUCCCCAAAUGGGGAUGGAGGAGGGGUCCCCAAACGUAAGUGUGGGUCUGGGGGUCCCUCAAUGAAUUCAGGGGGCCCAAAUUGGGGCUGGGGGUCCCCAAAUGGGGGUGGGGGUCUCCAAAUGGCAUCAGGGAUCCACCAGAAAGUGGGUGGGGGUCCCCCAAAUGGGGGUGGGGGUCUCCAAAUGGCAUCAGGGAUCCCCCCAGAAAGUGGGUGGGGGUCCCCAAAUGGGGGUGGGGGUCCCCAAGAAGAGUGGUUCUGGGGGUCCCUCAAUGAACUCAGGGGGCCCAAAUUGGGGCUGGGGGUCCCCAAAUGGGGGUGGGGGUCUCCAAAUGGCAUCAGGGAUCCCCCCAGAAAGUGGGUGGGGGUCCCCCAGUGGUCUCAGGGACCCCCAAAUGGUGCUGGGGGUCCCCAAAUGGGGGUGGGGGUCCCCAAGAAGAGUGGUUCUGGGGGUCCCUCAGUGAAUUCAGGGGGCCCAAAUUGGGGCUGGGGGUCCCCAAAUGGGGGUGGGGGUCCCCAAAUGGGGGUGGGGGUCCCCAAGAAGAGUGGUUCUGGGGGUCCCUCAGUGAAUUCAGGGGGCCCAAAUUGGGGCUGGGGGUCCCCAAAUGGGGGUGGGGGUCCCCAAAAGGAGCGGGUGUGGGGGCGCCCCAAUGCAUCCCAUGGACCCUCGGAUGGGAACCCUCCCCACCCCCCCAAAUUGCACCCAGGGACCCCCACAAUCCCUCCCAUCCCCCUCUACUUCCGCCCCCCUACUUCCGCCUAUCCCC
ensembl:lncRNA